rnacentral:rRNA from 1 species
CUGGUGGCACAAANUCGGAGGCCCCGACUGUUUACUAAAAACACNACACAGUGCAAUCAUUAGUAUGGUAGUAUACUGUGUGAAAUUUGCCCGAUGCCAUUAAUAUAAAAGAAGCUUAUGGAUUAUUUAUAAUCUUGUGACUAUUGAAAGUCUGGUUAAUAGCGGUCUUAACUAUGAGGAUCCUAAGGUAGCAAAAUCAGUUGGCCAUUAAAUGUGGUCCGGUAUCAAUAAUGUAACGAUGGUCUCACUGUCUCUACAACUUGCUCAGU